UUUGAAGAACAUGUGUAUUUGGAGAAGAAACCAGCUUGGAGUAAAUAAAAUGUCACAUUCUGCAAUAAAAAAUUGUUUUCAAGACCUGUUGUCAUGGAAGGUUUGCAUGGGAGAACAACACAAUUUGGUUCUUACUGAAUUGAGGACAAUUCCUUUCGAAGAAGGAGGGAAUGAUACAUGUGUGGAAGUGACAAAUUCUGAAAAUGAUAAUGGUUACAAGGUGGAUUUGGGAGGAGACCAUGGAAUGCAUGCUACCUUUAAUGUGGGAGAGCUUUCACCUUAUCUUGAUGAUGAUGGACUUGAUGAAUUGAGGUCAAUUCCUUUCAAAGGGGGAGGGGAUGAUCCAUGCAUGGAUUAUGAAAGCCCAAAAGGUGAUGGAUUAGUGAUUACUAGUGGGCUAGAAGGUGGCUUGGGCUCAAUGGUUGGGUUAUGCAUGGUAACCCACAAAUUGAAUUAGGGUUGCAUGAAGGCUAGGGCAACAUUUUUAAGGAUUCAUAAGUGCUACAAACGUUACUUUUUGCUUCAUAAAGCCUCCUAGCCGUUUUUAUCACUCUUUGGUGCAUUAGGGUUACACUUUAAUGCUUCUGAUGGCUCAUUAAUGCUUCUUAUGGCUCCUUAAUGAAGCAUAGACGUUUUUUCUUCAUCCUCAAGUGUCUUGGACGUUUUUUUUGUGUUAUUUCAAGAGUUUCCUUAAUUUUCAUUUACUAGUUUUAAUGAAUAAUUGGUUGGUUGGCUUGUAACCACCAAAUUUGUAAUAAAGGCUUCAUAUAAAGCCAAGUUUAUGCAUGGAAAAAGGAAUAGACGAAUUUUUAAGAAAAAAACCUUUGUUCAAUUGGAAUUAUUGUUAUAAUUCACAAAUUAUCUUGUUAGGACGUGUUCUUGACUUGAUACGAACUCAAUCCAAUAGGUCUUGGAUUGUUUUCACCGGUAUACAACUUAAUAGGUCUUGAGUUGUUACUAAUCUAUCCAUUUCUUUCCAUUCAUAUAUCAUUUGUGGUUACUAUUCUCUCUUAAUUUACCUAAACACUACCCUACUCACCAAAUCAAGCCCAUACAUGCAUCAUAAGUGGUAUCAGAGCCUAGUUCCGAUUGGGUGUAACUAAGUUCUUGUUCUGAAUUCAGUUGUUGUCCAAAAAUGUUGCGCAAGCUAUAUGAUGAAGAAGAGGAGGUAGAAGAUUCUGGUCCCAUCUACGACACCGAUGGAGAAGGGGAAUUUUGUGAAAGAAUAAGUUUCUUGGUUGAAGAGGAAUUUAUUGAAGAACUUGACGAAGAAACUAAUUUCGUGAUCGGAGAUGAAUUUGUUGAAGCAAUUGUGGAGGAAAUCAAUUUUGUUGAUAUGGACAAAAUUAUUGAAGAAAUUGUGAUUUUUGUUGAACAACAAAUUUCAUUCCAAGAGCUUACAACCACGAGAACCAAUGACUAUAAGUGCCACAAAAGUUCAUGUUCUCAUAUCUUUUAUGAACAUAACUCCUUUUCUAAAGAUCUUAAAGAAAUCCAAAUUGGAAGCUUCAUUGAUCAAGAAGAUUUAUUUGUUUUUCAUCUUCAUGUUCGUUUCAAAGUGUGGGAAAUUUUUACACUUUGGAGACCAUGGAAUGCUUAUAUUUUACAUUUUGAAGACCUUGGUGAGAGGAGGAAGCAUGGUGAGAUGUUGGAUUUUACUAAUUAUGAUCUUAAUAAUGAUGUUUUUGUUUUGUCUUCAUUCAUUGAUCAAAAGGAGAAAAAUGACUUGCGUAUUACUUUUGAUAAAAAGUUUUGUGCAAUUAGAGAUGAAGACUUUUCAUUCGUGGCUCAAAAACAAGAAGACGAAUUAUUUUUGGAUGAUGGUAGAAUUUUGUACCCUCCAAAAGACGAUAUGAUGAUUUCCAAAACAAUAUGUGUUCAUGGUGGUAGCAAUCAGUCACCAAAAGAGGCAUUGUGUGGCAAUUCUUAUGCCAAUUUUCUAUGUUGUCCACAAACAAAACAUAUUUUCGUUAAUUCUUCAUUCAUUGUUCAAAAACACCAAGACCGAUGGCGUGAAGUUUAUUGGGAACGAAAGAAGAAGGAUGGUAUCCAUCUUUUUACAAACCAUCUUUCUAAGAGAAAAUAUGAAGAUACAAGUCCUAAUUAUUUACAUAGGAGGGAGCUCGUGAUGUUUGGACUGAUAUUCUUUUGGUGUCUCUUUAAUUGGGAAGUCGUGAUAUUGGGGCGUGCUGCUCAUCAACUUACAAAUACAAAUGAUGUUCCAUUUGUUAAAAUGACUGCAAUUAACCAUUUAAAUUAUUGCAAGGUUAAUUUGCAGGGUCGAGUUCAUGGGAAGGUACGAAAAUGGUUUUUGAUCCACAAAUUGAAGAUACGGUUAGGAUUCAAUUCUAUGAGUUCUUUGAGUUGUUUGAAGAACAUGUGUAUUUGGAGAAGAAACCAGCUUGGAGUAAAUAAAAUGUCACAUUCUGCAAUAAAAAAUUGUUUUCAAGACCUGUUGUCAUGGAAGGUUUGCAUGGGAGAACAACACAAUUUGGUUCUUACCGAAUUGAGGACAAUUCCUUUCGAAGAAGGAGGGAAUGAUACAUGUGUGGAAGUGACAAAUUCUGAAAAUGAUAAUGGUUACAAGGUGGAUUUGGGAGGAGACCAUGGAAUGCAUGCUACCUUUAAUGUGGGAGAGCUUUCACCUUAUCUUGAUGAUGAUGGACUUGAUGAAUUGAGGUCAAUUCCUUUCAAAGGGGGAGGGGAUGAUCCAUGCAUGGAUUAUGAAAGCCCAAAAGGUGAUGGAUUAGUGAUUACUAGUGGGCUAGAAGGUGGCUUGGGCUCAAUGGUUGGGUUAUGCAUGGUAACCCACAAAUUGAAUUAGGGUUGCAUGAAGGCUAGGGCAACAUUUUUAAGGAUUCAUAAGUGCUACAAACGUUACUUUUUGCUUCAUAAAGCCUCCUAGCCGUUUUUAUCACUCUUUGGUGCAUUAGGGUUAC
rnacentral:lncRNA from 1 species